CUGCAUCUGCAUGUAUGGACGCUCAUACUCACCAAAUUUUCAUGUGACACCAUUGCAGAUAUAGGACAUUUCUAUUUAUUCAAGGAACAUGUGCAUACAAGCCAAGAAAGAAAAAACAAGAAGUCACUGGGAGAGCAAAGGAUGCAUACCAAAUCACCUGACACGGCACACAUUCUGUUUUUGUCUUCUCUUCCCA
rnacentral:lncRNA from 1 species